CGGGACUGGAAAGAGGCAGGCUAUCUUUGAUCAGGAGAUAUGUAAUAGAGAGCUGACUGAGUAAAGCUGUUGACAGAUGGAGGCCAACAGCACCAUGGCGACUGCUAAAGGGGGUGAUGGCAUGUGACUUCAGUAUUCUCUACCCCUGUGCACUUCUGGACAAGGCCAGUCUGCAGGACGCUGGCUGAACCACUGCCUGGACAGUGAUAGCAUACCUGCUCCACUGGGAGCUUUGCAGUCCAGGCAGAACUGAGGAGGUUCUUCCUCUGGCUUUUAGGGGCAUCUCUCAUCCGCAGAAAGAGCUCGUGUGCAUUCACGCCACACCGCUGACACACACCAUGUUCUGCUGCAAACACCUGGGCUCUCAGGGACUCAUGUUGCCCAGACUAGCUUUGAACUCCCCAUAUAGCUGAGGACGGGCUUUAAUUCCUGAUGUCCAUGCCUCCACCUAAGUGAUAAAAUGACAAAGCCAUGUUCCAUUGCUGCUCCAUGAAGUUCACGGCUUGCCUGGAGAGGAAGGUGGAACUGCCCCGAAGAGUGGUAUCUCUCAGACAUUGGUGAACGCUAUUCCUGCUUAACACAGAAGACUCACUAGAUCCACAGCAGCUUCUCAUACUCAAGCUCUCCUAGUCAAACAGAUGCUAGCGGUCCACAAUCGUGUUGGAAGAAGAAAGCUAGGGAGGCUUUUAUGACGUGCUGUGUACCCAUGUAUGUAGUUAUGUAAUUCCAAACCCUGGCUGUGGGAUUCUCCUGUUAGUGAUCAGUUCUCUUGUGACACAGGGCAUUAUACUUCUGUUACCAACGACUCCUCCUUUAUGCUGCACACUCUUAGUGACCUAGGGAUUUCACAAACUUCUACUAGAUGUGCCUCGGUCCCUUGUAGUAUAAAAAGGUAACUUCUCAUCUCCACUCAGUUCCAGCUGUGGAGAGUUGUCAACAUGCCACCCACUUUUAUCUCAUCUACAGGCUCCACAGGGUGGGCUGGCAUUCAGGCCUACAAGGACACUGAGUAUCGCCCUGCUUGGUCUCUGGUGGCUCCACCUCAUUGUGGUUCCCACAGUGGAUAGUGUGUGGUGAUUUGGUUUCUGUGCAGCCAUUUCCUUCUGACUGAACAUGGUUAUACAGCACACCGUAUAUCCAAUCUCCUUUAGUAGAAAACACAGUUGAAGGUAGUUUGGUCAGAAGCUUUUUCUUCUUUUCCUUCCUCUAUCCCUCCAUCCUACCUCCUUCCCUCCCCCCUCCUUUUCUUUCCUCUUCUCUUCUCUUCUCUUCUCUUCUCUUCUCUUCUCUUCUCUUCUCUUCUCUUCUCUUCUCUCCUCCUCCUUUCUUCAGUGCUGGAUAUCUAACUCAGGGCCUUGUGCAUGCUAAGCAGAUAUUGUUUCACUGAGCAGCGAUACCCUCAGCACCAUAAGUUAUGUUUUAAAAAGCACUCUUUCAGGUUGGCAAGAUGGCUACGAGGGGACAGGCGCCUGCUGCCGGGCAUGCUGAACCCACAGGCUAGAACUAGAGAAUGGAGUCCUAAGAGCUGUCUCCCAACCUCCACACAAAUGCUGUGGCACAAAAAAAUCUUCCCCAUACAAUAGAAAUCUAGUAGUGAAACAAUAUAAAAAGCAUUCUUUCAAUAGAAUAGACAAUGUAAAAUUACAAACAUGAUUUGUACAUCUAAACUAAUAAAAAAUUCAGAAGUGAAUGAACAGAGGCAUUUAAAAUCGCUGCCAACUUUUCUACACUUAUAUCAGUGUAGAAGGUAGAGAAGGUUUCCAAGACCCUCUCAGAGGGCCCACACCAUCACAGUUAUUUUGUAAUAUGGGUGGGGGGCAUUAUCUGCCUAUCAAGUUCUUGCUCCCUUAGGAUUGUCCAAGUGAGCUCUUCUUAGCAGGCUUUAUGUGUCUUGCUGAGUCAAGAUCAGGCUUGCACCCAGAGUCCCUCCUGCCUCAGCUGCCAUGGUGCUGGGACGACAGGCGUGCACCACCACACCCCAAUCCGCUGUCCUUGGCUGAAGCCAGAGAACUGCUGAGAACUAGAAUGUUGUUCUUCUCAGCACAGCACUCCGCUUUAGAAAAGACAACUAAUCUUAAAACACACACGUUAUUAAUAUAAAUGUUAGUAUAAAACUGAAUAAUACAUGACUAUUUUAACUGUCUUCAUUUUAAACAGAAAGGAGUAAGUGUCAAUAAACAUAACCCAUAUCAACAAGAGCUUGUGGGCCUUCCGCACAUUUUCAUCACGCGGAGAACUCCUCAGACUAAAAAGUGUGACUUUGCUAGUGU
rnacentral:lncRNA from 1 species